UAGGGAAUCUUCCGCAAUGGACGAAAGUCUGACGGAGCAACGCCGCGUGAGUGAAGAAGGUUUUCGGAUCGUAAAACUCUGUUGUCAGAGAAGAACAAGUCGGAGAGUAACUGCUCCGGCCUUGACGGUAUCUGACCAGAAAGCCACGGCUAACUACGUGCCAGCAGCCGCGGUAAUACGUAGGUGGCAAGCGUUGUCCGGAUUUAUUGGGCGUAAAGCGAGCGCAGGCGGUUCCUUAAGUCUGAUGUGAAAGCCCACGGCUCAACCGUGGAAGGUCAUUGGAAACUGGGGAACUUGAGUGCAGAAGAGGAGAGUGGAAUUCCAUGUGUAGCGGUGAAAUGCGUAGAUAUAUGGAGGAACACCAGUGGCGAAGGCGACUCUCUGGUCUGUAACUGACGCUGAGGCUCGAAAGCGUGGGGAGCAAACAGGAUUAGAUACCCUGGUAGUCCACGCCGUAAACGAUGAGUGCUAAGUGUUGGAGGGUUUCCACCCUUCAGUGCUGCAGCUAACGCAUUAAGCACUCCGC
rnacentral:rRNA from 1 species